GGGAACACCCCUGUCUUCGGUCAGGGAGGUAGACAGAUGGUGCUUUGAGACAUCAUAAAACGGAGCCCAGGUGCAAGAGAGUCAGCUGCAAUCAGAGGGAUGGGAAGGCAGAUUGCAGGCAGACUGACAGACCGACAGGAAGUCAGGUGGCCUUCUGCAGGAAUGAGUGCAGCAGGCGGGAGCAAGUCUAACGAUCUUUCCUGGGGACCAAUGCACACACAGCCAACUGGAAAGACGGAGAGCAGGCAUGGAGCAGGGACCGAGUCAAGCAGAUACCUGGACAGAUUCAGAUCCUCCUCCCGCGCUCUGCCGGCUCCUGGAAUGUCUCCAGGGUUGGGGAGCUCAGUCCUGCCAAGGCCUCCUAGAACCCAUCGCUGACCCAGCUCAACCCUCGGAGGCCACAGCACUCUUCAGCAUUCCCCAGGACGGGCCUCUGAAUAUCAUGAGCAAAUGGCACAGCCCUGUCUGUUCACUCAACCAUUGGCCACAACAUGGAUUCCACGCCCUUGCCCUUCUCUGAGUGCCUAGUCCACUCGCCAUAUCUUUCUCAAGGCAGCAGAUAAAAUCAGCCUUGCUACCAGGGCUACCCUUCCCCCCACCUCUGAUCAGUACCACCUGAGGCUCUCAGCCCUCCCUGCCUGCUCCAGAUCGUGUCCCACCCCUCCCACCUGACCGAUUGCCAUGGUCCUUUGCUCCAUUUCCAAGGCACCUGAGGGCUCCAGGCAGGGAGGUUUCUCUUACCGCCGGGACAAGAGCUCUGGGUUUGGACUAAACGUAGACCAGAAUUCAACCACGUGCUCAGCUGCUGAUUCUGCAUGAGCUGAGGCGAGGCACUGCACCCCUCUGAGCUCCUCCUCCCUUCUGGAAUGAGGGAAGUCACCCCUUCCUUGCUGAGAGCUCUAGGGAUUAAAUGUAAUAAUAGACCCAAAGCCCCCAAGACAGUGCCUCGCCCAGAAGCUCAUUAAAUACCACCCGCGCCCCAGCCCUCCCACUGGGGAGCCUAGCAAUGCCAACCCCUUCCAAUGCUGGGUGGAAUGAAUUUAGCGAGCAUCUGUGCAGCCCUCUAUCAACGGUUCUGCUAAAAGCAAGAUUCAUAAUGUCUAAUGUGUUU
rnacentral:lncRNA from 1 species